rnacentral:rRNA from 1 species
AGCGGCGGAUGGGUGAGUAACACGUGGGGAACCUGCCCCUAAGUCUGGGAUACCAUUUGGAAACAGGUGCUAAUACCGGAUAAUAAAGCAGAUCGCAUGAUCAGCUUUUGAAAGGCGGCGUAAGCUGUCGCUAAGGGAUGGCCCCGCGGUGCAUUAGCUAGUUGGUAAGGUAACGGCUUACCAAGGCGACGAUGCAUAGCCGAGUUGAGAGACUGAUCGGCCACAUUGGGACUGAGACACGGCCCAAACUCCUACGGGAGGCAGCAGUAGGGAAUCUUCCACAAUGGACGCAAGUCUGAUGGAGCAACGCCGCGUGAGUGAGGAAGGUUUUCGGAUCGUAAAGCUCUGUUGUUGGUGAAGAAGGAUAGAGGUAGUAACUGGCCUUUAUUUGACGGUAAUCAACCAGAAAGUCACGGCUAACUACGUGCCAGCAGCCGCGGUAAUACGUAGGUGGCAAGCGUUGUCCGGAUUUAUUGGGCGUAAAGCGAGCGCAGGCGGAAAAAUAAGUCUAAUGUGAAAGCCCUCGGCUUAACCGAGGAACUGCAUCGGAAACUGUUUUUCUUGAGUGCAGAAGAGGAGAGUGGAACUCCAUGUGUAGCGGUGGAAUGCGUAGAUAUAUGGAAGAACACCAGUGGCGAAGGCGGCUCUCUGGUCUGCAACUGACGCUGAGGCUCGAAAGCAUGGGUAGCGAACAGGAUUAGAUACCCUGGUAGUCCAUGCCGUAAACGAUGAGUGCUAAGUGU